AAGGAUCAUUACAGAGCGUGAUGCUAUGCAGAACUUGUUCUGUGUAGCUGACCCUCCACCCGUGUCGAUUAUCUCAUGUUGCUUUGGCGGAUCGGGCUUGCCCGCGCCCACUUUGGUGGGAGUUAUCCGCCAGGGAAGACCAAAACUCUCGUUAUCAGUGAUGUCUGAGGAUGAUAUAAAAUCAUGAAAACUUUCAACAACGGAUCUCUUGGCUCUGGCAUCGAUGAAGAACGCAGCGAAAUGCGAUAAGUAAUGUGAAUUGCAGAAUUUAGUGAAUCAUCGAAUCUUUGAACGCACAUUGCGCCCCUGGGAAUUCCUAGGGGCAUGCCUGUUCGAGCGUCCGUAACAACCUCUCAAGCCUAGCUUGGUCUUGGGACAUGCUGCUCUAGUGGCGGCAGUCCUCAAAAGAAGUGGCGGGCCCAUGUAACUCUCCGCGUAGUAAUACAUCUCGCGACAGGGAAGCAGCGGGACUUGCCAAAACUCCUUAAUUGCUCAGGUUGACCUCGAAUCAGGUAGGGAUACCCGCUGAACUUAA
rnacentral:rRNA from 1 species